rnacentral:rRNA from 1 species
CCUACGGGGGACAGCAGUAGGGAAUAUUGGUCAAUGGGCGAAAGCCUGAACCAGCAACGCCGCGUGAGGGAUGAAGGUUUUCGGAUCGUAAAACCCUUUUGUUAGAGAAGAAAAUGACGGUAAUUAACUAAAAGUCACCGGCCAACUCCUUGCCAGCAGCCGCGGUAAUACGGCGGGCGCAAGCGUUACUCGGAAUCACUGGGCGUAAAGAGGGCGGAGGUGGGAUAGCAAGUCAGAUGUGAAAUCCUAUGGCUUAACCAUAGAGCGGCAUUUGAAACUGGUAGUCUAGAGUUUGGGAGAGGUAGGUGGAAUUCUUGGUGUAGGGGUAAAAUGCGUAGAGAUCAAGAGGAAUACUCAUUGCGAAGGCGGCCUGCUAGAACAUAACUGACGCUGAGGCGCGAAAGCGUGGGGAGCAAACAGGAUUAGAUACCCGAGUAGUC